GCGCCUUUGGUGUAGUGUUAACACCCGUCUGUUGGAUGCAACAUAUACAUGAACGUUUCAGACGAGAUCAGGGUUCGACUCCCUGAGGGCGCU